GGAGAGCUGUCCGAGAGGCCGAAGGAGCACGAUUGGAAAUCGUGUAAGCCGCUAUCGUGGCUUCGAGGGUUCGAAUCCCUCGCUCUCCGCCA
rnacentral:tRNA from 1 species